rnacentral:rRNA from 1 species
AUUGAACGCUGGCGGCAUGCUUUACACAUGCAAGUCGGACGGCAGCAUGGGUGCUUGCACCUGAUGGCGAGUGGCGAACGGGUGAGUAAUGUAUCGGAACAUAUCCGCAAGUGGGGGAUAACGUAGCGAAAGUUACGCUAAUACCGCAUAUUCCCUGAGGGGGAAAGGAGGGGAACCGCAAGGACCUUUCGCUUACGGAGUGGCCGAUAUCAGAUUAGCUAGUUGGUGGGGUAAAGGCCUACCAAGGCGACGAUCUGUAGCGGGUCUGAGAGGAUGAUCCGCCACACUGGGACUGAGACACGGCCCAGACUCCUACGGGAGGCAGCAGUGGGGAAUUUUGGACAAUGGGGGCAACCCUGAUCCAGCCAUGCCGCGUGAGUGAAGAAGGCCUUCGGGUUGUAAAGCUCUUUCAGCUGGAAAAAAAUCGCAUCACCUAAUACGUGGUAUGGAUGAUGGUACCAGCAGAAGAAGCACCGGCUAACUACGUGCCAGCAGCCGCGGUAAUAC